rnacentral:rRNA from 1 species
UAGGGAAUAUUAGAAAUGGACGAAAGUCUGAUCUAGCAACACCGCGUGUGCGAAGAAGGCCUUCGGGUUGUAAAGCACUUUUUGGAAGGAUUAGGAAGGAAUGUACUUCCAGAAUAAGUCUCGGCUAACUACGUGCCAGCAGCCGCGGUAACACGUAGGAGGCAAACGUUAUCCGGAUUUACUGGGCGUAAAGCGCGUGUAGGUGGUUCUGUAAGUAGGGCGUGAAAGCUCCUGGCUCAACUGGGAGAGGCCGUUCUAAACUACAGAACUAGAGGAUGGUAGAGGGAGGUGGAAUUCCAGGUGUAGCGGUGGAAUGCGCAGGUAUCUGGAGGAACACCAGUUGCGAAGGGGGCCUUCUGGACCAUUCCUGACACUCAGACGCGAAAGCUAGUGUAGCAAACG